UGAGGAAUAUUGGGCAAUGCCCGCAAGGGUGACCCAGCAACGCCGCGUGGAGGAUGAAUGUCGUAAGAUUGUAAACUCCUGUUAGAGGGGAAGAAUAGUACCGGUUGGACCGGUAUAUGACUGUACCCUCAGAGAAAGCCCCGGCUAACUACGUGCCAGCAGCCGCGGUAAUACGUAGGGGGCAAGCGUUGUCCGGAUUUACUGGGUGUAAAGGGCGCGCAGGCGGGAUAAAAAGUCAGUGGUGAAAUCCUACAGCUUAACUGUAGAACUGCCUUUGAUACUUUUAUUCUUGAGUUCGGGAGAGAGAGACGGAAUUCCAGGUGUAGUGGUGAAAUACGUAGAUAUCUGGAAGAACACCCGUUCCGAAGGCGGUCUCUUGGUCCGACACUGACGCUGAGGCGCGAAAGCGUGGGGACCAAACA
rnacentral:rRNA from 1 species